UAACUCAGUGUUAUAUCCUCAUGAGCAUGCUUGGUCUUCAAGGAACCAUUUACAGGAAUUUCAUCUGCAUGGCUUCCUUUCUGAAAUAGCUUCUGCACUUCUAGAAACCUUGGGGUUCCCUCAGAAGCUUCAGGGGAACUCCACAUCUCCUGAGAACAUAAUUUGUUGAGAAGUCCUGAUUCAGCUCUGGGAACAAUCCUAACUUUGCCAGGAAGGUGAUGGAGAAAAAGGUGUGAGCAUCUAUUGCUGGUGAAAUUCACUACAGGCUGACGUCCAUCAUCAGAAGUUCUUUGGUGAAUGUUCUGCUUUUGCCCAGAGCCUUUGGGACAUUAGCCUUGUCACUAGGAAUUCAUGGUGAGGUCCAACAAAUGGCAUCCAUACUUCAGUUACAUUACAGUGCAUUCCAUGUGGGUCAUUGCUACAAAACCAGAAGCUUCAUUCAGUGCAAAAUGUAGAAGUUAGGAUG